UACAGAGGUUCCAAGCGUUGUUCGGAUUUACUGGGCGUAAAGGGUGCGUAGGCGGCUUUUUAAGUUUGGUGUGAAAUCUCCCGGCUCAACUGGGAGGGUGCGCCGAAUACUGAGAAGCUAGAGUGUGGGAGAGGAAAGUGGAAUUCCUGGUGUAGCGGUGAAAUGCGUAGAUAUCAGGAGGAACACCGGUGGUGUAAACGGCUUUCUGGACCAUAACUGACGCUGAGGCACGAAAGCGUGGGUAGCAAACAGG
rnacentral:rRNA from 1 species